rnacentral:rRNA from 1 species
UACGAAGGGGGGCUAGCGUUGCUCGGAAUACUGGGCGUAAAGCGUGCGCAGGCGGUUUCUUAAGUCAGAUGUGAAAGCCCCGGGCUCAACCUGGGAACUGCAUUUGUGACUGCAUCGCUGGAGUGUGGCAGAGGGGGGGUGGAAUUCCACGUGUAGCAGUGAAAUGCGUAGAGAUGUGGAGGAACACCGAUGGCGAAGGCAGCCCCCUGGGCUAACCACUGACGCCUGAGGCGCGAAAGACCAGGGGAGCAAACGGGG